rnacentral:rRNA from 1 species
CCUACGGGAGGCAGCAGUGGGGAAUUUUGGACAAUGGGCGAAAGCCUGAUCCAGCAAUGCCGCGUGAGUGAAGAAGGCCUUCGGGUUGUAAAGCUCUUUUGUCAGGGAAGAAACGGGUGUGGGCUAAUAUCCUGCACUAAUGACGGUACCUGAAGAAUAAGCACCGGCUAACUACGUGCCAGCAGCCGCGGUAAUACGUAGGGUGCAAGCGUUAAUCGGAAUUACUGGGCGUAAAGCGUGCGCAGGCGGUUUUGUAAGUCUGUCGUGAAAUCCCCGGGCUCAACCUGGGAAUUGCGAUGGAGACUGCAAGGCUAGAAUCUGGCAGAGGGGGGUAGAAUUCCACGUGUAGCAGUGAAAUGCGUAGAGAUGUGGAGGAACACCGAUGGCGAAGGCAGCCCCCUGGGGUCAAGAUUGACGCUCAUGCACGAAAGCGUGGGGAGCAAACAGGAUUAGAUACCCUGGUAGUCCACGCCCUAAACGAUGUCUACUAGUUGUCGGGUUUUAAUUAACUUGGUAACGCAGCUACGUCGUGAGUAAGACCGCCGUCGGGAGGUACGGUCGCGAGAAGUAAACGUAACGAAAGAAAGUAGUACGGCGUGAGACGUAGACGAGGACGACGACGAGGGAGGAGG